rnacentral:pre_miRNA from 1 species
GUAGUACUUCCUCCGUCCAGAAAUACUUGCCAUCAAAAUGAAUAAAAGGGGAUGUAUCUAAAUGUAUAUUAGUUCUAGAUACAUCUUUUUAUCUAUUUUGAUGACAAGUAUUUUCGGACGGAGGGAGUACUUG